rnacentral:rRNA from 1 species
GUUGCAGGGUAUAGACCCGAAACCCGGUGAUCUAGCCAUGGGCAGGUUGAAGGUUGGGUAACACUAACUGGAGGACCGAACCGACUAAUGUUGAAAAAUUAGCGGAUGACUUGUGGCUGGGGGUGAAAGGCCAAUCAAACCGGGAGAUAGCUGGUUCUCCCCGAAAGCUAUUUAGGUAGCGCCUCGUGAAUUCAUCUCCGGGGGUAGAGCACUGUUUCGGCAAGGGGGUCAUCCCGACUUACCAACCCGAUGCAAACUGCGAAUACCGGAGAAUGUUAUCACGGGAGACACACGGCGGGUGCUAACGUCCGUCGUGAAGAGGGAAACAACCCAGACCGCCAGCUAAGGUCCCAAAGUCAUGGUUAAGUGGGAAACGAUGUGGGAAGGCCCAGACAGCCAGGAUGUUGGCUUAGAAGCAGCCAUCAUUUAAAGAAAGCGU